rnacentral:rRNA from 1 species
CCUACGGGAGGCAGCAGUGGGGAAUAUUGCGCAAUGGGCGAAAGCCUGACCCAGCAACGCCGCGUGAGGGAAGAAGGCUCUCGGGUUGUAAACUUCUUUUCUCAGGGACGCAGAAAGUGACGGUACCUGACGAAUAAGCCACGGCUAACUACGUGCCAGCAGCCGCGGUAAUACGUAGGUGGCAGGCGUUAUCCGGAUUUAAUGGGUGUAAAGGGCGUGUAGGCGGAAAAGGAAGUCAGUUGUGAAAACGAGGGGCUCAACCUGUUGCCUGCAGUUGACACUGUAUUUCUUGAGUACUGGAGAGGCAGACGGAAUUCCUGGUGUAGCGGUGAAAUGCGUAGAUAUUAGGAGGAACACCAGUGGCGAAGGCAGUCUGCUGGACUGCAACUGACGCUGAGGCGCGAAAGCGUGGGGAGCAAACAGGAUUAGAUACCCCAGUAGUC